rnacentral:rRNA from 1 species
ACUACGGGUGGCUGCAGUGAGGAAUAUUGGUCAAUGGCCGAGAGGCUGAACCAGCCAAGUCGCGUGAGGGAAGAAUGUCCUAUGGAUUGUAAACCUCUUUUGUCAGGGAGCAAAGUCACCCACGUGUGGGUGUUGGAGAGUACCUGAAGAAAAAGCAUCGGCUAACUCCGUGCCAGCAGCGGCGGUAAUACGGAGGAUGCGAGCGUUAUCCGGAUUUAUUUGGCGUAAAGCGCUCGUAGGCGGUAUGUCAAGGCAAGGUUGAAAUCCCCGCGCUCAACGGUGGAACUGACUUUGAAACUGGCAAACUGGAGUGUGUGAGAGGAUAGUGGAAUUCCAGGGGUAGGAGGGAAAUCCGUAGAUAUCUGGAGGAACAUCAGUGGCGAAGGCGACUAUCUGGCACAUAACUGACGCUGAGGAGCGAAAGCGUGGGUAGCAAACAGGAUUAGAUACCCCGGUAGUC